UGCGUAGGCGGCCGUACAAGUCUGGCGUGAAAGCCCCGGGCUCAGCCCGGGAAGUGCGCUCGAAACUGCACGGCUCGAGUGCCGGAGGGGAGAGUGGAAUUCCUGGUGUAGCGGUGAAAUGCGUAGAUAUCAGGAGGAAUACCGGCGGCGAAAGCGACUCUCUGGACGGCAACUGACGCUGAGGCACGAAAGCGUGGGAGCAAACA
rnacentral:rRNA from 1 species